CACAAAUUUCCAGACCCCACUGCCAGAAUUAUGGUUCAGAAAAUCUGGAGUGGAGGCUGAAAAUUCACAUCUUGAUUAAGUUCCCAGGUAAUGCUGCUGGUACUGCUGCUGUGUGAACGCUAUGAGAAUCCUUCUAAAGGACAAGAAUUUUAAAAACCCUUGUCAUAUGGAACUAAGAAGGCUACUUAAAUGACCCCUCUUUCAACACAUUUUUCCCCAGAGGCAACACGUAAAAUAAGUAUGAGAAUUUUCACUCUGAAGCAAAACUGCUCAUGUUUGGAUCCAGCUCUGACACUUGACAGAAAUAAAAUCUAUACCAUCCAGAAAUCAUUCCUCAAUUGCAUGUCUCUGACUACUGAAGUCUCAGGCCAGUGGAGUGCCUUUUUCACUUUGUCCUUCUACUGCUAAUGCAAGCAGUAGGGAGCCAUUCAAAGAACUGAAUCACUUGCAAUGACCACUCUAAAAGCAAUUUGAGAAAGGACUGAAGGACACUCAGUUAUGAGGCAAGAAGCAGCAUCAGCCUGCCUGACCCAAAGAAUCGCUCUGGAGUAAUCAACUCAUAUUUGUGAUGUUAAGUGUGAUUGCUUUCUAUUAAAAGCAAUAAUCUGUUACAUUAA